GGGCGCCGCCGGUCCCCAUGGGAACCCUGGCCGACCUGGUCCACCUGGGCUCAAGGGUAGGAAAGGAGACCCUGGCAUGUCACCUGGGCCAGCACCUAAAGGAGAGAAGGGAGACUCAGGGAUUACUGGCCCGUUUGGACUGACUGGCCAAGAAGGUCGGAAGGUAA